GAAGGAGUCAAUUUUAGCAAAACCUGGCACAUUUAUUUUUCAACAUAGUCCCCUCCUACAUUUACACUCUUAGUCCAGCGGUCGUGAAGCAUAUGGAUCUUGGACCUCCAGAAACUGUCCACAGCAGGGGCUGCGAACUUAUCAAUCAAACAACAGGAAUUCUGCAGAUGCUGGAAAUUCAAGCAACAUACAUCAAAGUUGCUGGUGAACGCAGCAGGCCAAGCAGCAUCUAUAGGAAGAGGCGCAGUCGACGUUUCAGGCCGAGACCCUUCGUCAGGACUAACUGAAGGAAGAGAUAAUGGGAUUGAGUGAGAGCUCAAAGACUCGUACGGCCAGAUUUGGGAACAGCUUCUUUCCAACUGUGACAAGACUGCUGAACGGAUCCUGACCCGGAUCUGGGCCGUACCCUCCAAAUAUCCGGACCUGCCUCUUGGUUUUUUUUUGCACUACCUUACUUUCCCUUUUCUAUUUUCUGUUUAUGAUUUAUAGUUUAAAUCUUAACUAUUUACUAUCUAUCUGUACUCUAGGGAGCACAGAAUCAAAUACUGUAUCGCUGUGAUGAUUGUACGCUCUAGUAUCAAUUGUUUGGCGACAAUAAAGUAAAGUAAUGA